rnacentral:misc_RNA from 1 species
CUCCUCACACAGCGCUCUGAUGAUCGAAGCAUUUCUCGCUUUAUUUUUGUUUCCGUACUUGCCCUCGUUCAAUCCCCAUGGCGGAGGAACACACCCCUCUGUGCGCGGUACCGCAGGGUCCAGUGCACCCCCCACUCUGAGUGGAGAAGCCAAGCAGCCUCUCCCUAUCCCCUGCCAAUGCCGAGCCACCUCUGGUGGUGACAGGGCCAAGUGCCUACGACGUGAGGGGGAGGCCAGAGUGGUUUGCCGCUACGGAUGUCGGCGGUCAGGUCCUGGUCGACGAGGCGGCAGAGAGACUUGCCACAGCGAAUACUCUUGUGAUAUCCGUGUGAUGGGCGAAGUGCCAGCGCGACUCGUACGUAUCCCAUCCCCGUGGGUCACACCCUCUGGUGUGGGGAGCUUGAGUGCCACCCGGAGGCGGAUGCCCCAGAUGGGGACCGGCACAAUGGGUGGCGCGGCUGUGAGGCGGACCUGCGGUGCGGGUGGAUGGGCAGGGUUCGAGGCAGGGGCCGCGCUCAGCCGACUGAGUCGGCGCAUGGCUGUAACGCGCGUGUGUCUAGCGCUGCUUUGCACCACGCGGAUGUGGCCUGCGGCAGUGCCAGUGGGUUGGCGUGCAGCUCAUCUCACACGGCCGAAAGGGUGGUCACGUUAGCGGAACAGGACCGUUAUUGCAUGCGCGCAUUUUUGUGUGUUUCGCUCCCGCUCACGUGGAUGACCAGAGUCCGACCUUUGUUUUUGUUAUUUCGUUGUUGUUUUAUGCUUUUUACUGCGUAUCAGUAUCUACCCCUUAUAUCAACUUGUGACAACGGCUACACACGUGGCAUGCCGUGGGCGUCCGCGCAUUCUUUUGCGCUUUUUCAGCUGAGGUGUGCUCUCGCUCGCUAUCUCUCUCCCGUUUUUUUUUUUACAUAUAUCAUGAUUCGUGGUUGUUUGCCGUAUUGUGGUUAGUGCGGCAUCACUAUCAUGCUGGAAAGGCGCACCUCUUCGCGUACUCGUGCUCUUAUCUGAACCUUCACUACCGCCUCUUCUACACCUCUUUUCCGAGAGUGCGAGAGCUGCGAAACUGCCCAGCGAAGACGCACCUCAAAGAGCUGCAACCAGACCUCAAGAAACGAAAUGAAAUACCGCCUGCAGGACUUG